rnacentral:rRNA from 1 species
AUGGCUCAGGAUGAACGCUGGCGGCGUAGCUUAACACAUGCAAGUUGCGCGGUGAUCUCAAGAAGUUUCGGACGGAAAGGGAGAGCAGCAGCGGACGGGUGAGUAAAGCACAAGGACUUGUCCCGAAGAGGGGGACAACUGUGGGAAACCACAGCUAAUACCCCAUAAGCCGAGAGGUGAAAGCAGUAAUGCGCUUUAGGAGAGACUUGUGUCCUAUCAGGUAGUUGGUGAGGUAACGGCUCACCAAGCCGAAGACGGGUAGCCGGACUGAGAGGUUGUACGGCCACAUUGGAACUGAGAGACGGUCCAGACUCCUACGGGAGGCAGCAGUGGGGAAUAUUGGGCAAUGGGGGGCAACCCUGACCCAGCGACGCCGCGUGAGGGAAGACAGCCUUCGGGUUGUAAACCUCUGUUGCAGGGGAAGAAGAAAGUGACGGUACCCUGCGAGGAAGCUCCGGCAAACUACGUGCCAGCCGCCGC